rnacentral:rRNA from 1 species
AUUGAACGCUGGCGGCAGGCCUAACACAUGCAAGUCGAGCGAGCGGCGGACGGGUGAGUAAUGUCUGGGACACUGCCUGAUGGAGGGGGAUAACUACUGGAAACGGUAGCUAAUACCGCAUACCAUCAGAUGUGCCCAGAUGGGAUUAGCUAGUAGGUGGGGUAAAGGCUCACCUAGGCGACGAUCCCUAGCUGGUCUGAGAGGAUGACCAGCACACCUGGAACUGAGCACCGGUCCAGACUCCGACGGGAGGCAGCAGUGGGGAAUAUUGCACAAUGGGCGCAAGCCUGAUGCAGCCAUGCCGCGUGUGUGAAUAAGGCCUUCGGGUUGUAAAGCACUUUCAGCGUGGAGGCGUUACCCGCAGAAGAAGCACCGGCUGACUCCGUGCCAGCAGCCGCGGUAAUUC